rnacentral:sRNA from 1 species
AGUGGGGCGUGGCGCCCGCUUACCUUGAGGCUGGGUUGGAAAAAGACUAUUUUAGCAAGUGUCACGCCAUGGUAUGUGGUUGUUUGGUCUAUUUCAGUCUAAUCUAUUAUGCUUUCUGGUUAAAAAUGUCACCUUUCUCAUUAUCUGAUGGAUUUACGUUGCAAUGCAUAACUUUCUUAGGUUCUGAUAACUCACCUUGGCUGGGCCAUGUGAGUUAUCAGAAGAGUUACUCACCAUUUUGGCAGUGCUUCGAACCAUUGAGUUACCAUGUGAGUUACCAUGUGAGAAGGAGAGAAAUAUUGCCUCUGAAAUGCCUUUUUAGCUUUGGAUUUGCUUUUUGCUUUUUUUUUUUUCUUUGAGAGUUUUGUUCUUGUUGCCCAGGCUGGAGUGCGGUGGCACGAUCUUGGCUUACUGCAACCUCUGCCUCCCAGGUUCAAGCAAUUCUCCUGCCUCAGCCUCCCAAGUAGCUGGGAUUACAGGCGUGCACCACCACGCCUGGCUAAUUUUGUAUUUUUAGUAGAGAUGGGGUUUCACCAUGUUGG